GUUGUAAACCAAAGCUAUAUAAUGCGGUGUCACUCUGCAAUAAACGCCAUUUGCCGUCCACCACAUUGGUGUCUGCGUGCUAAUGGACCCCGCGAUCGCGAGCAGGUGAUUGCCUGUGCCGACCCUAAACCAGGCCACCGUGCCUCGGAGAGGCAGCAAGUGGUGCCGAAACCCGGGAAUUUCGCCUGGAGUGGCGUGCGGCGGCCGGAGCGGCGGGUCCAGCCCGGCGGGGAGGACGCUCCCAGACCUUCAGGGACGAUGGAGGCCCUUGUGAAGGUUGUAUCAGAAUGGGGUAUUGAUUGUAAACCUAAAGAUUUUACUCUCGCCGUUGCGAGACUUUUGCAGAUUGGGGUCAUUGACCAGGCGGUGGAUAUUCUCCACCCAGAAGUGUGGCCUAAAUGCACCACAGCAUUAGCCGAGGAGACGAUGUCCUCGGGUUGUGGGAAAUAUCUUAAGUUGUGGGGGAAAGUUAAACAAGCUCUGCAAAAGGCCAUGCAGGAGCGGGAUAUCUGGAGGGUGGCGAGGGACUGUCUGUCUGUUACCCCUAAAUUGGGAGUUGGGGCGGCCACGCAGACUCCGCGCCCACCAGAUGAUGGCACUUUUACCGAGUCUAAAGACUCGCGGGAGGGCGCUAUGCCCCCCGAUUCCCAGAACCCCGACCCGCUUACGGAGGGACAAAAUCGCGCAAAAUCCUUUUGGGGCGGGCUUGCUGAAGAGGCCAGGAGUGCCGCGGAGAAAUCAGAGCCCAAAGACGCCUGGGCUGGACCACCGCCCUAUACGCCCCAAGAUGGCGCCGAGCGGCAGGGGGAAGGGCGGGGCAAACACGCCCCAUGCGAGAACAAGGAGGAAGCACUAGCACUAACAAGCACGGAUAAACAGGAAGGGGAGGGAAGCGCGAGUACGGGGCGGACAGCCAAUCAGAACGACCGUCCGGAAAUAUGCCCUUGUAAGGCACAUGCCCCCCCCACUAACAGGCGGGGCGAACAGAGNNNNNNNNNNGCCUGUGCCGACCCUAAACCAGGCCACCGUGCCUCGGAGAGGCAGCAGUUUCACGUCAUCAUAUUAUUUGGGGGAUGAAAGAUAUCUUUGAUUAAAUUAUUUUAUUUCAUUCUUUAUUAUC
rnacentral:lncRNA from 1 species